ACGGUCAUAGGGCGGGUCGGGCCCCUCCGCUGGGCGGGCGGCCAGGUCGAUCGCAUAGGCCUGGCCGAAGAUCCUCACGCCGUGGCUGGGC
rnacentral:tRNA from 1 species